rnacentral:rRNA from 1 species
CCUACGGGUGGCAGCAGUGAGGAAUAUUGGUCAAUGGGCGCGAGCCUGAACCAGCCAAGUAGCGUGAAGGAGGACGGCCCUACGGGUUGUAAACUUCUUUUAUAAAGGAAUAAAGUGAGGCACGUGUGCCGGGUUGUAUGUACUUUAUGAAUAAGGAUCGGCUAACUCCGUGCCAGCAGCCGCGGUAAUACGGAGGAUCCGAGCGUUAUCCGGAUUUAUUGGGUUUAAAGGGAGCGUAGAUGGGUUGUUAAGUCCGUUGUGACAGUUUGCGGCUCAACCGUAAAAUGGCCAUUGAUACGGGCAGUCUUGAGUACAGUUGAUGUAGGCGGACUUCGUGGUGUAGCUG